rnacentral:lncRNA from 1 species
UUUUCUUUGUUUUGCUUUGCAUUGCAUGCAUGAUGAUGAACAUAUAUAUACACACAUUGAAUAUAUUAACUAAAGCUUACAAGAAAUGGAGUUGAUGGCCCUGGAAUCUAAUUCCCUAUCAAUUUAUGGACAGAGUACGACCUUAGGCUGAAUUUCAUACUCAAAAGCUGUCGCGUACAGAUUUAAUUAUAAUUGGAAAGGAAGUAAAUUUGCA